rnacentral:rRNA from 1 species
UUGGAGGGCAAGUCUGGUGCCAGCAGCCGCGGUAAUUCCAGCUCCAAUAGCGUAUAUUAAAGUUGUUGCAGUUAAAAAGCUCGUAGUUGAAUUUCGGGAUCAAUACGUCGGUCGUGCUUUUUUGGUACGCACUGGCGUCAUUGGUUUCUCCUUUCUGACGAACCAUGAUGUCAUUAAUUUGGUGUUAUGGGGAGUUAGGACUGUUACUUUGAAAAAAUUAGAGUGUUUAAAGCAGGCAUUAGCUUGAAUACAUUAGCAUGGAAUAAUGAAAUAGGACGUUCGAUCCUAUUUUGUUGGUUUCUAGGAUCAACGUAAUGAUUAAUAGGGAUAGUUGGGGGCAUUAGUAUUCAAUUGUCAGAGGUGAAAUUCUUGGAUUUAUUGAAGACUAACUACUGCGAAAGCAUUUGCCAAGGAUGUUUUCAUUAAUCAAGAACGAAAGUUAGGGGACCGAAGACGAUCAGAUACCGUCGUAGUCUUAACCAUAAACUAUGCCGACUAGGGAUCGGAUGAUGUUAAUUUUAUAAUGACUCAUUCGGCGCCUUACGGGAAAC